UACGUAGGUGGCAAGCGUUGUCCGGAUUUACUGGGCGUAAAGGGCGUGCAGGCGGUCUGUUAAGUGCAGGGUGAAAGCUCCCGGCUCAACUGGGAGAGGUCCUUGCAUACUGGCGGACUUGAGGGGGGUAGAGGAAAGUGGAAUUCCCGGUGUAGUGGUGAUAUGCGUAGAUAUCGGGAGGAACACCUGUGGCGAAGGCGGCUUUCUGGGCCCUACCUGACGCUGAGGCACGAAGGUCAGGGGGAGCAAACGGG
rnacentral:rRNA from 1 species